rnacentral:lncRNA from 1 species
AGUUGAAAAUUCAAUAAAAUUGUUGAUUAUGCACUAGCACACUGAAUUAAAUAAAAGAAAAACUAGAACACCGAAGAAUGAGUAUAGGGAAUGCAGAGAACUUUCACAACAUCUAGUAUUUUAUUGUUUGUACUAUAAUCAAAGUAAAGCUCAAAGAGGGAUUAGCAUAUGACUCUAAAAGGAUGACAACUAUGGAUAACAACAUGGAAUAUAGGAGAAUUGGGGAACAGUAUGAUCAAAAUUCAGAAGAAUUGGUAUUUUCUACCUUAAAGUCUAUUACAGAUGAUUAUCAAGAUCCAUAAGCAUUGAAUAAAUUAUGAUUUGAGCAAUAUUAACUAAACAUUUUUCAGAAAGGUACUGGAUGAACCCCUUUAUCAACAUAUGGACAAUAACCAAGGAAACAUAGCCACACAAUCGUUUUCAAAAUAUAUCUGUUUUUGCAUGGUAUGAAGAGUUGAAGUCUCAAAAGAAAGAGAGAGAGAGAGAGAGAGAGAGAGAGAGAGAGAGAGAGAGAGAGAGAGAGAGAGGAAGAAGGGAAGCAAAUAGUAAUGUGAUGAGCUCUAACUCUGGCACAGAGGAGCUGCCUAUAAGAUAGGAGAUAUCAGAGGCUAACUACAAGAUUUCUUCUAAGAGAGAAAGAGAAAGAAAUGUCUUUAAUUGUUGGCUGAUGGGGUUCCAUAAAAACCACCAAGCAACUCACCUUAUUUACAUGGCUAUCGGGGAAACUAAUGGUAAGACUCUAUUGGUGACAACAAUAACUACCUAUCAUUUAACAUGGAGUGAAGACAACCUAGUGCCUAAUUAGAGCCUUCAUCCUACUUAUGAGUGUUCACCAUAUUGGAAGAUAUUCUUCAUACUAGUAGAGGAGAAAACCAAACACUAACCCAGAUACAAACCCUUCAAUCUACAAGUGACUUCUUUUUGAAUGAAUCAUUGAUACAAUAGUGGCACAAAAUUUGUGCUUGUAACCGUCUACUAUAUGUGACUUGGAUUUAAGGCUCACUCCAGUAGAUAGAACCCACCCAUAAGAGUGCUUUGUUGGUCAAGAACGUGAGACUAAAUAGUCCAUGGGCCUCUGGAAAAACCAAGUACUGUUGCUCUACUACAGGAUCAUAGUAAUAAAAUGACUUCUAAGAACACAGUACCAUAAUACCUAUAUAUCAGUGCCUCACUCAGCCAGCACCAUACUCUUCCUCCUCCAGGAGAUGAGAAUUAAUACAAAGACAAUUAACUGGAUAACUUGGAGAAAAUUUGUAUUUUGGAAUUCUCAUUUCUCAAUGGGAUGUCUUCACCAAACAAACCCCUCCUCCCCUCAGGGCUCAAGGAACUCUGGAAGAGAAAUCAGGAAAAAUGUCAAGAUGAGUAGGGAUAGAUGCCCCUGAAGAAACUGUCUUCUGGAUACAUCAGGAAUAAUGUACAUAUGAACUCAUAGAGACUGUGAAAACCUGUACAGGGCCUGCCCUACUCCAAGUCAGAUGUCUUUCCAAUACUGAGAAGGGACAUGGACAUGGACACCGAUCCCCAACCCCAAAGCUUUAUCUCUAAUAACUCUUCACACGUGAAAAAAAAAGGUAAUUUCCUCCACAUAAGGCUGGCCCCAUGCCUACUAGCAGACAGCCAAGACAAAAUAAACUUAACAGUACUAAAGGAGAUGGUUGUCUCAAAAUGAUUUCUCUGGACACUUGCUUGCCUUGCAUGUCAUUUGCAUAUCAUUAAGUUUUGUGAUUCAUUGUUUUAUGGAUUUUGUAUAUGUGUAUGUUGCUCAUCCUUUAUCUUUCCCUUUCUUUUACUUUCCCUUUUAUUCUGUUUUAUUUUAGUUUGUGCGUUUUAUUCUCUUGGCCUGUUGGUGUUUUUGUUCGUUUGUUUGUUUGUUUGUUUUUGUUUUUGUUUUUUUGGAAGAGGAAAAGAAGGCUUGGAGUUAAGGAGGUGGGAGAAUCUGGGAGGAGACAGAGGUGUGAAAAUUGUGAUCAGAAUAUACUGCAUGAAAAGAUCAACAACAACAACAAAAACCCACAUUAUUGUUGUAGUCAAUAUUUAACCUCAAUCAGGGAUUUCUACCCCGCAUAUGAUCAUUCAGUUCCCAGAUAAAAGAUACACAACUAUUAUGUUUAUAAUAAGCCUUUAAUGCACUAGUGCUGGGCAGAUAUCUGCCUUCUAAGCUAUUUGAAUCUACUUCUCCAUCUACAACUCUGAGUUAUAACUCGCCCGUUUUCAUGAUUUGCUCUUAAAUCCAAUUGGCUGGCCUCCCUGCCCAUGACUCGUCUCUACACUAUGGUGUCUUCUACAUUCUCCUCAUUUUCUCUCUCUCUCCCUCGUCAUGGUCUCUGCCCCAGACACCAAGCCUGGGCUCCAAAAUCUCAUGUCUCUUCCGCCCAGCUAUAGGCUGUCACCAUGUUUAUUCCACAAAUCGUUUUAAAUUAAGGAAAAGGGUAUAUGCAGAUUCUCUAGACUCUGGAGACAACAAGGCCUUGGGGCCAGUAAUUGAAAGGGUAAUUGGGGCCACCCGUGUCUGUUCUGUUUCAGCAAUUGACCAUUCAGGAAGGCAGGGCAAGGGAAAUCGACUGAGCUUACCCUGCACAUGUCCAGAAGCCCGGGAACACUGCUCUGGGAAUGGGGAAGUGCAGUUUGAGGCCCUGGACAGCAGAAGUUGGCUCAGGGGUCCAGGGUCGAUGAGGAAGCCAGGGCCGUCUGGUUCUCAGGCUCUCAGAUUCCUAGGUGUCAAUGGCUUGACUGUGGUGGUAGGCUUGUGCUUGGCUUGAGCUUGGCUUGGUAGUGGCCUUGGCUGAGAGCAGAAAGAAGCCUUCUAAGGGAAAUUAAACAGCAGCUUUGUAGCCAAAGGCCUUCUCCGUGGCUCACCAUGGUGGCUCCUGAUGAAAAAAGGCAGUCCUUGAUUUUAAGGCAUUUAUUGCCAUGGCAGAAAUUGGAUGUAAGAAACCCUACCCCAUUUCUCAGGGUGGGCCUGGGAUUAAAUACCUUUUUCAUGGAGGAGUGUCUGGGAAGGAAACUUAUUGGCUAAACCCACCAAGUCUUUAGCUACCUCAUUAAAAUGGAAAUCUGUCUUGAGCCUAUGUGACCAAAAAACAUGUCCUCUACUGGUGGAGGGGUUUAGGGUGCUGUCCUUACAUGACUGAUGGCCACAAAUCUAGGGAGGGCUGCCACUAUUGACCCAGGCCUGGUGCUUAUGAACAGGCAAAACACCUACCGUCCAUUCAAGGUCACCAGGGUUUCAAGUCAUAGCUCAACCAGGGACCAAGCUGCCUUUCAUGGUCUCACAAGUAUUUAACAUUACAAUACUUAGCAGAAGACCAAACCUCAACACAUUAGCUAUGUUAGUGUUAAUAUUUUAUAUACAUGCUAAUUUCUUUUUUAAAAAAUCAAAUCAUUGUAUUUUUAAUUUCUAUAUGUGACAGUCAAUUUUCUAAUCUCUCAAUUGUAUUAUUUUAUAAUAUAAUACUAAUUAUAUAAAUUAAUGUAUAAUUUAUUCAUUUUCUUGCAUUGGGAUAACAUGAAACACCAUGAAUAUGUUGGGAAAACUCCUAUCAUCAUACAUUUAUUAGUGGGAAGAACACAGCACUGACAUUUUAGUCUUAAAUAUAUAGUACCAUCUUGUUGCCUGAAAUGUUUUUAAAGUCUCUGAAGGUUCACAGUAAAUUGUUCUUUUACUGUCCUGUUAGAUUUCUGUACUUUAGGUUCUCUAGCAAUUCCGUGGUACUUGCAAGUUUUCUACGGCCAAAAGUAUGUGAAGGAAGAUAGCGAGGGAAAGUCAAUAGAUAUUUAACAGGAAGGAUUAUUGUUCUUCAAAAUAUUGUGCUCAGC